rnacentral:lncRNA from 1 species
AUGUUUUGUAGGGGAGGCAAUGUUAAGAGAGGAAUUCUAAAGAGUUUCAUGCAUAAGUACCAUCUGUAGCACUUUAAAUAUGACAAAUAUGGCCUUCCCCUAAAGUUGACUAUUGUGAAACAAACACACCAACAAACCCAAGUCCCCACAUAUUAAAAAAUAACACCACUCAUUGGAUAUGUAAGUUUGGUUGUACUUCUAAAAUAAGAAAAAUUUCAAAGCCCAAACACACCCAAUUCACUAGUACCCUGAGUUAGGGGGAGAAAAAAGCGGAUAUAUAAUAAAUGUUUUACUAAUAUGGUACAGUGCAUGAAAAAAUAAUAUUAUCUAUGUUUCUCAACUUUCUAAGCACACUGCACAGUCACACCUUGUGUGUGUAAGAAGGAAAAGGAUCACAUGUCUCCCCAGUGAACCACAGGGUAAAUGAACCAGUGACCCUGAGAAAUAAACAAUCUGCCUGGUUCUUUCAUCUCUGCAAAGGAAGUUUCUUUCUGUUCACUACUUGACUAGCUGGAAUUCCACCCAGGAAGACACAGCAUUCCUAUCCUCCAGAGGAUUUGGCUCUCAAGAUGCCAUCUUGGAAGCAGAAAGCAGCCCUCACCAGAUGUCAGCACCUUGAUCUUGGACUUCCCAGCCUCCAGAACUGUGAGAAAUAAACUUCUCUUCUUUAUAAAUUACCCAGUUUGCGGUAUUCCGUUAUCAUAGCACAAACAACCUAAGACAAAAACCAAAAUACUUUAAAAAUAUUUGACAAUUUGAGUCCAUUCAUUGAAUAUUAGUCUUUAGGUCAGCAAAGUAAAAAGAAGAGUGAACACAAUUUCUGGCAGGAUCUUGUUCCUCUUGAACUCUCCUCACACUGACAGGGACCCAGCUAUAGUGCAAAGUCUGAACAUGGCCUUCCCUCACUUAUGUACAUCUUUUCCUUGACUCCUCAUCAUGCCUCCUCAUAAUGUCCACCCAUGUGACUUAACAUAUGGGAUCCCUGCAACUGGGACUCCUUCUGUCUUUACAAGCUCUUCUCCAAAUGCUCUGUAGCUUCUCCUGAAUGCUCAAGUACUAACCUGCUUGGAGCUACCUGUUCAUCCCAGGUCCUUUCUGACUCUGUGUUGCUGUACGUAUUGUCCCCUCAGUCGGCCAUCUUAUUUGGGUGGCUAAUUCCUAGUUGUGCUUCAAGAUUCAGCUCCUGGGUCAUCUCUGGGAAAGCCUCUCUCCUAGGAAGCCAAAUCUGAGCCACCAGAUGGGACGACAUCAACUCCCCAACCUCUGUAGUUUCACAGUACCCUGCACAGAUAUCUAGAUACACUUUCCACAAAAAUCAGAAGUGAUCUCUGUUUUUCUGUCUUCGUCCCACUAUCUUGGUCCCACAGUCUGUCACUAGAUUAUAAACUCUUCAAGGGCAUGAACAAUAUUUAUUGAUCUUUAUAUUUCUAGUAAUAAUUUGUUUAAUGCUAAUUUGAGUAUCACACGCACUAGGCUUUGCUGAACCCUUGACUGUACAGGAGACAGGAAACAUUGGUUAGUAGGAGUGGAUAAAAGAGAGGGUCUAAAUACCAUUUUUUUUUUUCUGAUGGAAAGGGUACAUUUUAAUAGUUAGCAUGAGAAAUAAUCUAUGCUUCUCAUUUUUGAAUCAUAUUAAUCCACUCCACUCUGGAGUCUUCAGGUAAAAUGCACCUUAAGAAGCAGCAAAGUGUGUGCAGGAGCAUUCUGGGUAAAAAGCCUCUUUGUAGGUAAAAGUACAUAUCAGAUAUGAAGGCACAACUUUUUUGUUUAAUACACAAUAGAUAUUCCAUUAAUAAACAUACAGCAUUGGGUCAAUAUCAUACAAAAAUGAAGAAAAAGUUGAAAAAUCUAGAACUCCCUUAUUCUCUCUAGAUCAUCAGCCUGAAUCAUUAAUUCAACAAAUAUUUAUUGAAUGUCUACUCUAAGUAAGGAAGUGUUCUAGGAGCUGGGGAUAUACCAGUGACCAAGACAGAUGACAUCUCUAAUUUCAUAGAUCUUUAGUGCAUUGUGGGAAACAAACAUUCUCUAGUAAUGCACUAGUGAAUACAAUUAGAAAUAUAUAAUGGUAUAACUAUUAAUAUAAAAUAUAAAAAUAUGAUAGAAAAAUUAGUA